CAACACUACAACAAUCAUGCAAUUUGCAAAUGAAUUGCAUAGUCUUUCAUCAUCCAGUUUCCAGACAAGAUGCUGGGGAAAGGAGUCUAGCACUCAGACAAGCUUCCUCUGUGUAUGUUCUUGAUGGUAACCCUCUGGAAGACAAAACUAUGACUAACUACAUCAUUCCCCACACCAUUCACUCAAUCCUACACCAAGUGUGCUUGAUUUGAUAGCACCAUCAUAAAAUAAAGAUGGAACCAUA